rnacentral:hammerhead_ribozyme from 1 species
AUCCAGCUGACGAGUCCCAAAUAGGAUAGACGAAAUACGCAUCAAGCUGGAU